AGCGAACGUUUGCGGCGGGCCUAACACAUGCAAGUCGAACGCACUAGCAAUAGUGAGUGGCGCACGGGUGCGUAACACGUGGGUAAUCAACCCUUCAGCUUGGGAUAACGACUUGAAAGGGUCGCUAAUACCGGAUACGGCGCGGGAGGCUUCGGCUUCUCACGAGAAAGCCUCGCAAGGGGCACUGAAGGACGAGCCUGCGGCCCAUCAGCUAGUUGGUGAGGUAAGAGCUCACCAAGGCGAAGACGGGUAGCUGGUCUGAGAGGAUGAUCAGCCACACUGGAACUGAGACACGGUCCAGACUCCUACGGGAGGCAGCAGUGGGGAAUAUUGCGCAAUGGGCGAAAGCCUGACGCAGCCACGCCGCGUGAGCGAUGAAGGCCUUCGGGUCGUAAAGCUCUGUGGGGAGAGACGAAGAAAGCCCGUGAAGAGCGGGCCUUGACGGUAUCUCCUUAGCAAGCACCGGCUAACUCCGUGCCAGCAGCCGCGG
rnacentral:rRNA from 1 species